CACCGCGGCCAUACGAGUGUUAGCCCCAGCGGAUGGUCAGCGGCGUAAAGAGUGGUUAGGGGCCCUUACAACUAAAGCUAAAUGUCCUCAAGGCUGUUAUACGCAUCCGACGACGUGAAACCCCGCCACGAAAGUGGCUUUAACCCAACCCGAACCCACGACAACUAAGACACAAA
rnacentral:rRNA from 1 species